UUUUGCUGAGUUCCACAGCCUCGUUCCCAUCGCUUAGAGCUCCUGGAGACCUCAGUUAUGCUCCUGGUGCUCGUCCCCGCCCUGGGGAUGGCUCUCGCCUUGAAAGCCGCUGUAGCCCAGAGGGUGAUCCAGCCUGACGCCCACGUCUCCGUGUCUGAAGGAGACUCUGUGGAACUGAAGUGCAACUUCACCCAAGGAACAGCCCUCUAUCUCUUCUGGUACGUCCAGCACCGCGGCCAAGGCCUCCAGCUUCUCCUCAAGCAUGAUUCAGGGGAUAACCGGGUUCACAGCCUCCAAGGCUUUGAGGCUGAAUUUAACAAGCACAAAUCUUCCUUCCAUCUGAAUAAGUCCUCGGUGCACCUGAGCGACACGGCCCGGUACGUUUGUGCCAUAACUGCCACAGCGCCUGGGACUGCAGGGGGAGCCGCGCACAAACUCCCUCAGAUGCGGCGGAGGAGAAAUGGGUCAUAAAAACAUGGGUUCAAACCCUGGAACUCUUCCCUCAGGUGUGCAGGAGGUCAGGCACCUGCUGGACCAGUGCGGGGCUGAUGCGCUGCUGGUGGUGGGAUGUGGGAGUGGUGGCAUGGCCGGGAGAGCUCUGAUUCGCAGUCGUUAUUUUGCUUUUCAGUGAUUCCAACUAGAGGACAAGCCUCUUGUAGACUUUUCCUAUAUAUUUACUGUUUUCCCGACUUGGAAAUUUUAAGUCAGUUUUCCUUGAUGCUUUUCCCCCCUUGGCUCCACUUUGUACUGGCAAAUUCCUCUUGGUGUAAGUGUUCCUUUGAGAGGGGCAGGAGAUUGGUUGGAUGGUAAACAGCUUAACUACAGAAUGUUAAUGGAGGUCUCAGUAACUUUUUAGGAAUAUUGGGCAAAGAGAGUGAAUGCUUCCAACUGCUAAUAGCUUUAGAGGUCUACUGAAGAGAGACAAGAUGUGAA